GCCUAUGAAUUGAGGGCGGGGUAGGGGCGUGGCCACAGCAGGAAGGGUGUAAGAGUGGAGUCCACAAUGGGCUGAAGGGCAGGGAUCAACUUAGUUAAACAGGGCUCUGCCUUUGAGGGCGGGUCUAAGGGCUCAUGGGCAAGGCAUUGGGUGGGCACAUGUCUCAAGAGGUGGAGUUAGAUUCACAACGUUAGGUGGGGCAGAGAGCUACAUAAGGGGUCUCAUGGAGGGCGGGACGCGUGCCGAUGGAUGAGACCCUGAGGUGUGUGGUCAGGCCAGGGCUGCCUCUACCUGUGUACUGCUGGACUCCGGAGAAGGCAGGAUGGAGGGUCUCUGCCACAGUGGGGCUCUGAGCUGCAGGGCAGAGGACGAACUGAGUGCUGACAUCCACAACCACCCAGCUUCCCUUCUGCAUUAACCCUCACAGGCAAGCCAACGAAACUGCAUCUCUGAUGCAGGUCAGCUCGCCAGGGACACACACCCACAGCAAACAACAGAAGCCAAGUGAAGCCAUGUGACCACCACCCCUCAGCCCCUAACCCUGCCCCCCUCAGCACCCAGGAAAACCCCUCACCUGAGAGUCAUCUACCACACCCCAUCCCCUGCCCAGACUCCCUCAUCCAAUGUGUGGGGACCCCCGAGUGUUUUAUGGUCCACCUAGUUCCUGGUUUGGGCCAUCAGCACUCAAGGCUGUCAGCUCAAGCCCACCCUGCCUCACUCUGAUAAAGCCCAGAGCCAACUACAGAAUAAAGAAGUAAGCCGGG